GACGAACGCUGGCGGCGUGCUUCAUACAUGCAAGUCGAACGAGAAGCUGACUUCGGUCAGUGGAAAGUGGCGGACGGGUGAGUAAUAUGUAGGAAAUCUGCCUUUAGGAGGGGGACAACAGAGGGAAACUUCUGCUAAUACCCCAUAUGAGCGUAGCUGAAAUGCUAUUCUUGAAAACUCCGGUGCCUAAAGAUGAGCCUGCAUCUGAUUAGCUAGUUGGUAGUGUAAUGGACUACCAAGGCGACGAUCAGUAGCUGGUUUGAGAGGAUGAUCAGCCACAAUGGGACUGAGACACGGCCCAUACUCCUACGGGAGGCAGCAGUAGGGAAUUUUGCGCAAUGGGCGAAAGCCUGACGCAGCAACGCCGUGUGAACGAUUAAGCCCUUCGGGGUGUAAAGUUCUGUCAGUAGGGACGAAACUUGACGGUACCCACAGAGGAAGCACCGGCUAACUCCGUG
rnacentral:rRNA from 1 species